rnacentral:rRNA from 1 species
UCAUUACCGAGUUUUCAACUCCCAAACCCCUGUGAACUUAUACCAUUACGUUGCUUCGGCGGGACUCGCCCCGGCUGCCCUCGCGGCGGACCGGACUCGGGCGCCCGCCGGAGGACCAAAACUCUUCUGUAUUUUUAUGGCAUGUCUGAGUGGAUUUUAUACAAAUGAAUCAAAACUUUCAACAACGGAUCUCUUGGUUCUGGCAUCGAUGAAGAACGCAGCGAAAUGCGAUAAGUAAUGUGAAUUGCAGAAUUCAGUGAAUCAUCGAAUCUUUGAACGCACAUUGCGCCCGCCAGUAUUCUGGCGGGCAUGCCUGUUCGAGCGUCAUUUCAACCCUCAAGCCCUGCUUGGUGUUGGGUGCCGGCACGCGCGCCUCCGGGCGCCCGCCGCCCCCGAAAUGAAUUGGCGGUCUCGUCGCAGCCUCCCUCGCGUAGUAGUAAAACAUCUCGCUUGGUGGAGUGCGGCGCGGCCACGCCGUAAAACCUCUUAAUUUUUUUAAGUUGACCUCGGAUCAGGUAGGAAUACCCGCUGAACUUAAGCAUAU